AAAAAUGGAAAAAUCAGAGCUAGAAAGACCUGUGAACUUGUGGGAACGGCCCGCGGGCUUGCCCCUACGAGCCCGCGUGCCCGUGCACUUACCGCGCAGACAUGGGGUAGAAUGUGCACGCAGGUGUCGCACAUAGCAUGUUCACGUCCCAUCGGCCUACGUGCGUCCCAUUAGCUACCUGUGCAUGUUAGCCACCCCUCACCUUAUCUGCAACUGCCCCUCAUGUCGCCUCCAGCCGUCUCGUCGGUCACCGUAUAUCGUUGGCUGCACCCUUCCAUUGGCUACCACAUGUCAGUCAUGCAUGCUACCACAUGGCACAUAUGUAUCCUUUCUCGAUAGCUAUUUAAAUCCUUCUCCAUUCACUCUUAUCUCUCAUUCCUUCCA
rnacentral:lncRNA from 1 species